AUCUGUGUGUACUUCUUGAAGAUUUACAAUAUCAACUUCCAGCUACUGACUGGCCAUUUCUUCCAAAAUUAGGCACUAGGAAACCUACUGUGUCCUUGUCUCUAGGCAAGUAGGAGCCUCAGAAGCUGCCCCACUCCCUGGCCUGAGGCAAGGACAUUGUCAGCAGCAGUUUCCAGACUUCCCCAGCUACUUGGUCAGCAACAGUUUCCAGACCUCCCAAGAAGGCCACACCCAGAAUUCGUUCUCCAGGCUGCAAAGGAUGGGCUGAGCAUUUGAGUGGAGGAGUUUGUGGAAGAAGACCUUGUAAUCUAAGACAGAACACGAUGAAGCUUCCCAAGAACCUGAUAUUUGGUUUCCGUCGUGGAGAUCAGUGGCCCUUCUCAGCUUGCAGGCUUUUCCUGCAACCUGAAGAACACUGAGCUUCACCCAAUGAAUGCAUCUCCUUAGAGGGACUCUGAAGUCGUCAUCCCAGCCAACCAGCUGACUCACUCACUGAAAAAUGCUACAUUCUGGGCAUAUCUUCCAUGACAGUCCAGGAGGGUUGCUGUUGGAAACCCAAACAUGUCCACUCCUGCUCAAGAACUUUGAUCACCGCCUCUUCAUAUGACUCUUCCAUGGGCUGGUCGGAGUACCUGAGAGACGGAAAGAAUAAAUAAACCAUACCAGAAAACAAACAGGAAA